UCUCUCUCUCUCUCUCUCUCUCUCUCUCUCUCUCUCUCUCUCUCUGUGUGUGUGUGUGUGUGUGUGUGAGAGAGAGAGAGAGAGAGAGAGAGAGAGACAGAGAGA
rnacentral:miRNA from 1 species